CCUGAAUUUCGGGGUUGCAGGUUAAUGAAGCCAGGGGGAGAGUUGCUCUUGCGCUCAGGACCUGCUCAGGGGCUUCCUGUAAUGGACUCGAGACUUUAACUACUAUGUGAUCAGCCAGCCCAACUCCCAGGAUGACCUUUAGGUGUGUGCAGAUUAAGAGAUCGAAGGUGGCUGCUCCACCUGCAUGGAAAACACUGUGAAACUGAUUGCUCUUAUUUAGGGCCCAUAAAGGAAGCUUUCAUUCCCCCCCUCCCCCCUGCAUUCCAUCCUUCUUUUUUGCAACCAAAGAUGACUAGCUCCGGGAGUCAUGCUUAAUGGGUGUGCUUCUGUGGAUCGUAAAUCCAACAGAGCCCAACUACAAGGAAAGGAGCGAUUAGAUGGGUUUAUGGCCAGAUUUACUGCCUCCCUCGGCUUCUCUUUUAAAUUCCGCGCGUUGACAGGUUAAUAUCUUUCUUUACAAGCUGCUGCAAGGCAUAGACAAAGCUGGGUGGAGGAAGCACAGAGAGAAAGGUUGUAAUGUAUAUGCGGAGUGUGUGUGUGUGUGUGUGUGUGUGUGUGUGUGUGUGUGUAAAGCUUCUUGUCAAGAGUUGCAUCACAAUCCUGGAUUUGGAAUGCAGUCAGAAUGCAGGGGGAAUUCUAGGGUAGGGGAUCCCAAAGUGGUCAGCAGGAUUCCCAGGGGCCAAGGGCGAAUCAUUGGUGCGAUGGAGGUGCCAAUGCCUAUCAGACUCUAAAAAGCCCCUAUCAAUGGAUCAAGUUCAAAAGCUUUGUUGAGUUCAAUAAACUAAAUAGUUUUAGCUGGCGCUGGAAUAAAUAUGCCAUUAAUGGUUACUGUUUAGGAUUGGAUUGUGUUAUUUUCUUCCUUAGUGGGUCCUGCAAAUCGCUAUUCUGGAUGAUUUUUUAUUUUAGAGUAGCGGGCACGAGGUAUGAGUUUAUGGAACCCAAGGGAGCGGGGGCCCCAAAAUUUGGGAACGACACCUCUUACUGAGCCUGCUUUGCACUAAAGUGUUUGCGGUUUUUUUGCCUAGCUGGAAUAGAGAACCAGUGGGACCUAGUGGUUAGAGCAGUGCUGGAUUUAGGGAAGUGCUAUGGGUGGUUCCCCCCCACACACAGGACGCCGAGCCGAAGGAGCACAAAAUAUGCGCAGAACAGAAGGCAAGAGGGUGGAGGGCAUGAAAAUAAGAAAUAUUUAGGGGGGUGAGCCAAAUUUUGUCCUCGCUCAGGGCCACCAUAUUACCAAAGUGGCUUCUCGACUUGGUGGUAGAAGUGGUCAUGACUCUAAGCAGACCCAGCAGCACCAUCAAUGACAACACGGUGAGUGGGGAGCAGUUGGGCUCUUCUGAGAGCCUGGCAACCAUGCAUUUCUGGGCACAUUAUUUGACCAGAGAAGAGUGUUGCAAAAUUAGAGGAAUGGUUGAUUUGGAAAGCUCAAAUCAUGUGAGAAUCAAAUGCAAACUGAAUUUAUUUCCCCCCAUCACUAGUUCUAAUCCCACCUUCUAUUGUCUCUUUCUUUCUUUCUUUCUUUCUUUCUUUCUUUCUUUCUUUCUCUCUCUCCUUCCCUCCAUCCCUCCCUUUCUUUUUUAAAAAACCACUGCCUCAUCUCUUAGGUCUGGCAACAGGAAAAUGGUCAAAAUUGUCCAAGAUUCUAUGCUCAAAGAGUCCAGCCCCCUAUUGUGCUCUGUUCUAACUGGC